rnacentral:lncRNA from 1 species
CUGGCUGUACUCAGUCUCCACACUGCUGGCUCCCUAGAGCAGACAUUUGCUUGUCUUCCCAAGGUCACCCUCUCCGCCCACACAUCAGUUAAGAACAGCCCCAUUCAGGCAUCGGCCCAUUCUCUUCGCCCAGUACUUUAGAAGAUCCGGAGGCAGCUCGGCCAUGCAUACAUCCCACAGUCUAGAGAGCAGGAAGACACCAUGAAAUGAAGAGCCUCCUCUUCCAUAAACAGCUGGACUCCUCAGAGGCCCACUGCAACGGAGUCACAAUGAUUGAGGCCUCAGAAACCAUGUGUGGGUCGGGGUGCUCAUUCUCAGAAGCAAGCAUAGGUUAUCAGGUUUGGCUGAAAGAACGUUUACCCAAUGAGUGAUGUCUCCAGCACCACCUCCUUAUAUUUCAGGACCAUGUGAUUCCCAUCAUGCACCAUGAAAAAAUGCAAGUGUAUCAGUUAGGAGUUGCUUAUGAGUAAGAUGGCCAUGAGAUAACAAGGAAUCCCCGAAUGAAGCACACACAAAGCUUCUCCAUGCAGCUGAGGUCCUUCAUACUCAUGGCAAGUA